GGGACCCGCACAAGCGGUGGAUGAUGUGGUUUAAUUCGAUGCAACGCGAAAACCUUACCACCUUUGACAUGUACGGAAGCCUUUAGAGAUAGAGGCGUGCUCGAAAGAGAGCCGUAACACAGGUGCUGCAUGGCUGUCGUCAGCUCGUGUCGUGAGAUGUUGGGUUAAGUCCCGCAACGAGCGCAACCCUUGUCAUUAGUUGCUACAUUCAGUUGGGCACUCUAAUGAGACUGCCGGUGACAAGCCGGAGGAAGGUGGGGAUGACGUCAAGUCCUCAUGGCCCUUAUAGGUGGGGCUACACACGUCAUACAAUGGCUGGUACAAAGGGUUGCCAACCCGCGAGGGGGAGCUAAUCCCAUAAAGCCAGUCGUAGUCCGGAUCGUAGUCUGCAACUCGACUACGUGAAGUCGGAAUCGCUAGUAAUCGUGGAUCAGAAUGUCACGGUGAAUACGUUCCCGGGUCUU
rnacentral:rRNA from 1 species